GAUGAACGCUGGCGGCGUGCCUAAUACAUGCAAGUCGAACGAACAGACGAGGAUCUUGCUCCGCUCACGUUAGCCGCAGGCGGGAGAGUAACGCGUGUAUAACCUACCUAUAAGUGUGAGAUCACUUCGAAAAACCGGAGCUAAUACCGGAUAAUAUAUUGAACCGCAGUGGGCGAUAGUGAGAUACGGUGUUUCGGUCACGUAUAGAUGGAUCCGCGCCGCAUUGGCUAGUUGGUGAGUUAACGGCUUACCAAGGCGACCAUGCGUAGCCGAGCUGAGAGGCGGAUCGGCGACAUGGGAACUGAGCCAGGGACAAGGGUCCUACGGGAGGGAGCAGUAGCGAACGUUCCGCAACGGGCGAAAGUAUUACGGAGCAACGCCGAGUGAGUGAUGAAGGUCUUCCGAUCGUAAAACCGUGUUAUUAGGGAAGAACAAAUGUGUAAGUAAAUAUGCACGUAUUGACGGUACCUAAUCAGAAAGCAACGGCUAACUACGUG
rnacentral:rRNA from 1 species